GGGAAAAGCUCAAAUUUAAAAUCUGGCGGUCUCCGGCCGUCCGAGUUGUAAUCUGGAGAAGCGUUUUCCGCGUUGGACCGUGUACAAGUCUUCUGGAAUGGAGCGUCAUAGAGGGUGAGAAUCCCGUCUUUGACACGGACUACCAAUGCUUUGUGAUACGCUCUCGA
rnacentral:rRNA from 1 species